rnacentral:sRNA from 1 species
UAAAAAAGAAUGGAUCAAAAUUAUAGCCU